UGGCCGUAAACGAUGUGGACUUGGUGUUGGAAUGGCUCCGAGCUGCUCCAGUGCCGAAGGGAAGCUGUUAAGUCCACCGCCUGGGAAGUACGGUCGCAAGACUGAAACUUAAAGGAAUUGGCGGGGGGAGCACCACAACGGGUGGAGCUUGCGGUUUAAUUGGAUUCAACGCCGGAAAUCUUACCGGGACCGACAGCAACAUGAAGGCCAGGCUGAAGACUUUGCCGGAUUAGCUGAGAGGUGGUGCAUGGCGUAGUCGUGU
rnacentral:rRNA from 1 species